GUUGUGCCUUUCCCAUGCCUGUCGAACGAUGACUCUCUAGCUUGCUAGAGAUGAUUAGUGGCGGACGGGUGAGUAACAUUUAGGAAUCUACCUAGUAGUGGGGGAUAGCUCGGGGAAACUCGAAUUAAUACCGCAUACGACCUACGGGUGAAAGGGGGCGCAAGCUCUUGCUAUUAGAUGAGCCUAAAUCAGAUUAGCUAGUUGGUGGGGUAAAGGCCCACCAAGGCGACGAUCUGUAACUGGUCUGAGAGGAUGAUCAGUCACACCGGAACUGAGACACGGUCCGGACUCCUACGGGAGGCAGCAGUGGGGAAUAUUGGACAAUGGGGGCAACCCUGAUCCAGCCAUGCCGCGUGUGUGAAGAAGGCCUUUUGGUUGUAAAGCACUUUAAGCAGGGAGGAGAGGCUAAUGGUUAAUACCCAUUAGAUUAGACGUUACCUGCAGAAUAAGCACCGGCUAACUCUGUGCCAGCAGCCGCGGUAAUACAGAGGGUGCGAGCGUUAAUCGGAAUUACUGGGCGUAAAGCGAGUGUAGGUGGCUCAUUAAGUCACAUGUGAAAUCCCCGGGCUUAACCUGGGAACUGCAUGUGAUACUGGUGGUGCUAGAAUAUGUGAGAGGGAAGUAGAAUUCCAGGUGUAGCGGUGAAAUGCGUAGAGAUCUGGAGGAAUACCGAUGGCGAAGGCAGCUUCCUGGCAUAAUAUUGACACUGAGAUUCGAAAGCGUGGGUAGCAAACAGGAUUAGAUACCCUGGUAGUCCACGCCGUAACCGAUGUCUACUAGCCGUUGGGGUCCUUGAGACUUUAAUGGCGCAGUUAACGCGAUAAGUAGACCGCCUGGGGAGUACGGCUCGCAAGGUUAAACUCAAUGAAUUGGACGGGGGGCCCGCACAACCCGUGGAGCAUGUGGUUUAUUUCGAUGCAACG
rnacentral:rRNA from 1 species